rnacentral:rRNA from 1 species
GACGAACGCUGGCGGCAUGCCUAACACAUGCAAGUCGAACGAGACCGUCGGGUCUAGUGGCGCACGUGUGCUUAACGCGUGGGAACCUGCCCUUAGGUUCGGAAUACCUCCCCGAAAGGGGUGCUCAUACCGGAUAAUGUCUUCGGGCCAAAGAUUUCUCGCGUUUGGAUGGGCCCUCGUUAGAUUAGCUAGUUGGUAGUGUACACGCAUAGCAAGGCGAGGAUCCAUAGCUGGUCUGUGAGGAGGAUCAGCCAGACUGGGACUAAGACACGGCCCAGACCCCUACGGAAGGGAGCAGAGGGGAAUAUAGGGCGAGGGGGGAAAGCGUGACAAAGCCAUGCCGGGUGAGUGAUGAAGGCCUUAGGGUUCUAAAGCUCUUUUACCCGGGAUGAGAAUGACAGUACCGGGAGAAUAAGCACCGGCUAACUACGUG